rnacentral:rRNA from 1 species
CAAUAGCGUAUAUUUAAGUUGUUGCAGUUAAAAAGCUCGUAGUUGGAUUUCGGGUAGGAUUUGCCGGUCCGUCUUUGAGAUGUGUACUGGUAAGUCCUAUCUUCUUGUCGGGGACCAGCUCCUGGGCUUCACUGUCCGGGACUAGGAGCUGACGAGGUUACUUUGAGUAAAUUAGAGUGUUCAAAGCAAGCCUACGCUCUGAAUACAUUAGCAUGGAAUAACACGAUAGGACUCUGGCUUAUCUUGUUGGUCUGUGAGACCAGAGUAAUGAUUAAGAGGGACAGUCGGGGGCAUUCGUAUUUCAUUGUCAGAGGUGAAAUUCUUGGAUUUAUGAAAGACGAACUUCUGCGAAAGCAUUUGUCAAGGAUGUUUUCAUUAA